rnacentral:lncRNA from 1 species
CAGAUAUAUUACACUGAUAAUUACAAUCAGAUAUACAUAAUUGGGACUUACAUUAUUACAUUGAAUUCUGUGAAGUAUAUGCCCAGACAAAUAACCCCUCACAGAGGAAGGAUGUCCAUACUCCACUCGCAUUUCGCAAGGGAGAAUGAUUUUUACAUAUUAAGAACAUUUAGCCCCCACAAUGCUUUUGUGGGGGCUAGAACCGCUGCCCUCACAAGGCUUGUGAGGGCAGUAGCCCACCACUUCGG